rnacentral:rRNA from 1 species
UACGUAGGGUGCGAGCGUUAAUCGGAAUUACUGGGCGUAAAGCGUGCGCAGGCGGUUUUGUAAGCCAGAUGUGAAAUCCCCGGGCUCAACCUGGGAAUGGCAUUUGGGACUGCAAGGCUUGAGUGCGGCAGAGGGGGAUGGAAUUCCGCGUGUAGCAGUGAAAUGCGUAGAUAUGCGGAGGAACACCGAUGGCGAAGGCAAUCCCCUGGGCCUGCACUGACGCUCAUGCACGAAAGCGUGGGGAGCAAACAGG